AUGAAACCGACAUGUCAAUGGAAACAAAUUGCCCUGAUCCUGGUGAUCCUGUCGGCGCUGAUCCCGCCGAACCGAGGAAAAGGGAAUGGAUGGCCGUUUAUGAGUCUGAGAAACCCGAACCUGAAUAUUCAAAAGGGAACGCUCUUAUUGACGGGGCACGCGCGGCUCAUGCUGGCCCUUGACGAGAAAACACUGGUCCGGAUGCCUUGGAGACAUCGGAGCGACCAGAAGUACACGUGGCUCAUCAAAAUCACACUUCCGGUGCCCGAUGACUCGAUUAGUCGCGCCUUCAGGAUAGAACUGGCUGGCUUUGAUCCAGUCAGGGCGGUGGCACUGGCGAAGCUCCUGCUAGGAAAGAGACUCCCGUACGAGGCUAAACUCCAGACCGAAAAAGAUUGGAUGUAUUACAUUUGCGUCAACAGGCCCCGAACCCCCUGUGCUGCCGUGGUGUCUGCAGAAUAUCCCACUGACCAGCGCCGAGAUUAGAGAAGGAUUCUACUUCAAGGACCCCAGUGGCAACCUUUUAAGUGCCAGCGAACUCACACCACUUCCUGAGGCUAUAGAAUGGGAGUGGAGUAAGGAAAACUGGUCCAAUAAAUUCACCUUUCCUCCCGAUUAGAUAAGUGAUUAGUAGGCUCAUGAUAGCGACAAGCUGGGGUCGCUCAUUGGGUCAAACUCAUUAAGCUCGGAAGCACGGGCUCGAUUGCGAAUAAAUACAUUUUAAUUUCCAGCGAUCUUAUUUGAUUUAUUUUUGGUGACGAAUUGACCGUGUAUUUUAGCGUUAAUUUUGACAGCAGCAACAAAUAAAG
rnacentral:lncRNA from 1 species